CGCGGCCUAUCAGCUUGUUGGUGGGGUAGUGGCUUACCAAGGCUUUGACGGGUAGCCGGCCUGAGAGGGUGACCGGCCACAUUGGGACUGAGAUACGGCCCAGACUCCUACGGGAGGCAGCAGUGGGGAAUAUUGCACAAUGGGCGGAAGCCUGAUGCGGCAACGCCGCGUGCGGGAUGACGGCCUUCGGGUUGUAAACCGCUUUCGCCUGUGACGAAGCGUGAGUGACGGUAAUGGGUAAAGAAGCACCGGCUAACUACGUGCCAGCAGCCGCGGUGAUACGUAGGGUGCGAGCGUUGUCCGGAUUUAUUGGGCGUAAAGGGCUCGUAGGUGGUUGAUCGCGUCGGAAGUGUAAUCUUGGGGCUUAACCCUGAGCGUGCUUUCGAUACGGGUUGACUUGAGGAAGGUAGGGGAGAAUGGAAUUCCUGGUGGAGCGGUGGAAUGCGCAGAUAUCAGGAGGAACACCAGUGGCGAAGGCGGUUCUCUGGGCCUUUCCUGACGCUGAGGAGCGAAAGCGUGGGGAGCGAACAGGCUUAGAUACCCUGGUAGUCCACGCUGUAAACGGUGGGUACUAGGUGUGGGGUCCAUUCCACGGGUUCCGUGCCGUAGCUAACGCUUUAAGUACCCCGCCUGGGGAGUACGG
rnacentral:rRNA from 1 species